rnacentral:misc_RNA from 1 species
UCCGGUUUGUCACCGGCAGUCUCAUUAGAGUGCCCAACUUAAAUGUAGCAACUAAUGACAAGGGUUGCGCUCGUUGCGGGACUUAACCCAACAUCUCACGACACGAGCUGACGACAGCCAUGCAGCACCUGUGUUCAGGUUCCCUUUCGGGCACACCCAACUCUCAUCGGGCUUCACUAACUUUCAAGCCCUGGUAAGGUUUUUCGCGUUGCAUCGAAUUAAUCCACAUAAUCCACCGCUUGUGCGGGUCCCCGUCAAUUCCUUUGAGUUUUAAUCUUGCGACCGUACUCCCCAGGCGGACAACUUCACGCGUUAGCUGCGGUACUGAGAAAUCGCUUCCCCAACACCUAGUUGUCAUCGUUUAGGGCGUGGACUAC